rnacentral:lncRNA from 1 species
GAUAUUAGAGUUUUUGUGAAAAUGAUAAGAAGUUUCGAAAAAAAAAUUCUUAUUUGUGACUUAUUUUGUAUUUUGGUUAAAUAUUUGGUAUGCUUUAACCCCACUUUGGGGUAUUAUAUUACUUACUAAGGUAGUGUAGCUUAUUAUCCUAUUUUGUCUUUUUUUUAGAUCUAGAGGUUUGAUUGCACGGGAUUGGGAAGUGCGUUAGAUUUUGCUCAAACUAGAAUUUUGGUUAG